AUUGAACGCUGGCGGCGGGCUUAAUACAUGCAAGUCGAGGGGCAGCACGGUUAGCAAUAACUGGUGGCGACCGGCGCACGGGUGCGUAACACGUAUACAAUCUACCUUAAACAGGGGGAUAGCCUUUCGAAAGAGAGAUUAAUACCCCGUAAUAAAUUGAACGGCAUCGUUUGAUUUUGAAAGCUCCGGCGGUUUGAGAUGAGUAUGCGUCUGAUUAGCUAGUUGGUGAGGUAACGGCUCACCAAGGCGACGAUCAGUAGGGGAUCUGAGAGGACUAACCCCCACACUGGUACUGAGACACGGACCAGACUCCUACGGGAGGCAGCAGUAAGGAAUAUUGGUCAAUGGAGGCAACUCUGAACCAGCCAUGCCGCGUGCAGGAUGACGGCCCUAUGGGUUGUAAACUGCUUUUAUACAAGAGAAAACCCUGGUACGUGUACCAGGUUGAUAGUAUUGUAAGAAUAAGCAUCGGCUAACUUCGUGCCAGCAGCCGCGGUAA
rnacentral:rRNA from 1 species